rfam:Citrus clementina cultivar Clemenules unplaced genomic scaffold scaffold_2, whole genome shotgun sequence.
UCCGUUGUAGUCCAACGGUUAGGAUACCUGGCUUUCACCCAGGAGAUCCGGGUUCGAUUCCCGGCAACGGAA